CCCCUCUGAGGGUCGCACCUGAAGAGUUUCCAGUACUCUACCAGUCUUGGCUACGGGAGGGAGAGUCAAGCAGAGGCAUACCCAUUCCAUUCCUAGCCCGGUCAGUGGCUAGCGAGUAGAAGGCAAUCUGCUACAUGG